UUAUUUUUUUUUGAGUAUAUCUACUCCCUCCACUUAUUUUUUUAUGGUGCCUUUAGCUUGGGCACACCCCUUGAGAAAUCUACUGACUACAAGAAAGUAAGAAGUGUUAUUAUUAACUUACCCUUAAUAAAAUAGUAUCUAUUUAAUACAGUUUCUUGGUUACAUAAAAACCAUUUAUUUGA